UACGUAGGGGGCAAGCGUUGUCCGGAAUCAUUGGGCGUAAAGAGCGCGUAGGCGGUCCGGUAAGUCCGCUCUGAAAGUCCGGGGCUCAACCCCGGGAGGCGGGCGGAUACUGUCGGGCUAGAGUCCGGAAGAGGCGAGUGGAAUUCCUGGUGUAGCGGUGAAAUGCGCAGAUAUCAGGAGGAACACCAAUGGCGAAGGCAGCUCGCUGGGACGGUACUGACGCUGAUGAGCGAAAGCUAGGGGAGCAAACGGG
rnacentral:rRNA from 1 species